UACGUAGGGUGCGAGCGUUAAUCGGAAUUAUUGGGCGUAAAGAGCUCGUAGGCGGUUUGUCGCGUCUGCUGUGAAAAUCCAGGGCUUAACCCUGGACCUGCAGUGGGUACGGGCAGACUGGAGUGCGGUAGGGGAGAUCGGAAUUCCUGGUGUAGCGGUGAAAUGCGCAGAUAUCAGGAGGAACACCGGUGGCGAAGGCGGGUCUCUGGGCAGUAACUGACGCUGAGGAGCGAAAGCGUGGGGAGCGAACAGG
rnacentral:rRNA from 1 species